rnacentral:misc_RNA from 1 species
AAUUGUUCGAGUCGGCUGAUGCGCUGCUUUGCCACCAGGACUUCGGAGAGGCUCUUUGCCUCGUCCUCGACAUCAACCUGAAUGGGGAAUCCGGCAUCGAUCUGUGCCGGAGCCUCUUGGACAAAGGGGAAAGGGUGCCGGUCAUUUACAUCACCGGAAACGACAGCGAGGCGAAUCGCGCAGCCGCGAGAGCUUCAGGUUGCGUAGCCUACCUUACCAAGCCCUUUGCCGGGCUUUCGCUGA